CAGUAGCCGCGGUAAUACGGAGGGUGCAAGCGUUAUCCGGAUUUAUUGGGUUUAAAGGGUCCGUAGGCGGACUUAUAAGUCAGUGGUGAAAGCCUGUCGCUUAACGAUAGAACUGCCAUUGAUACUGUAAGUCUUGAGUAUAUUUGAGGUAGCUGGAAUAAGUAGUGUAGCGGUGAAAUGCAUAGAUAUUACUUAGAACACCAAUUGCGAAGGCAGGUUACCAAGAUAUAACUGACGCUGAGGGACGAAAGCGUGGGUAGCGAACAGGAUUAGAUACCCCAGUAGUCCCUGUCUCUUAUAA
rnacentral:rRNA from 1 species